GUGCUCACUUCAGCAGCACAUAUACUAAAAUUGGAAUGAUCUAGAAAAGAUCCACAGGGCUCUGUGGAAGGAUGACAUGUGAAACUUUUCAGGGUUUUAACUUUAAA